rnacentral:rRNA from 1 species
AUUGAACGCUGGCGGCAGGCCUAACACAUGCAAGUCGAGCGGCAGCGGGAAAGUAGCUUGCUACUUUUGCCGGCGAGCGGCGGACGGGUGAGUAAUGCCUGGGAAAUUGCCCAGUCGAGGGGGAUAACAGUUGGAAACGACUGCUAAUACCGCAUACGCCCUACGGGGGGGGAAAGCAGGGGGACCUUCGGGCCUUGCGCGAUUGGAUAUGCCCAGGUGGGAUUAGCUAGUUGGUGAGGUAAUGGCUCACCAAGGCGACGAUCCCUAGCUGGUCUGAGAGGAUGAUCAGCCACACUGGAACUGAGACACGGUCCAGACUCCUACGGGAGGCAGCAGUGGGGAAUAUUGCACAAUGGGGGAAACCCUGAUGCAGCCAUGCCGCGUGUGUGAAGAAGGCCUUCGGGUUGUAAAGCACUUUCAGCGAGGAGGAAAGGUUGUUGGCUAAUACCCAACAGCUGUGACGUUACUCGCAGAAGAAGCACCGGCUAACUCCGUG